GUGAGGAAUUUUCCGCAAUGGGCGAAAGCCUGACGGAGCAAUGCCGCGUGAAGGAUGAAGGCCUAUGGGUUGUAAACUUCUUUUCUUAGAGAAGAAUAUUGACGGUAUCUGAGGAAUAAGCAUCGGCUAACUCUGUGCCAGCAGCCGCGGUAAGACAAAGGAUGCAAGCGUUAUCCGGAAUGAUUGGGCGUAAAGCGUCUGUAGGUGGCUUCAAAAGUCUCCUGUCAAAGAUCAGGGCUUAACCCUGGGCCGGCAGGAGAAACUCUGAGGCUAGAGUUUGGUAGGGGCAGAGGGAAUGCCCGGUGGAGCGGUGAAAUGCGUAGAGAUCGGGAGGAACACCAAAGGCGAAAGCACUCUGCUGGGCCACAACUGACACUGAGAGACGAAAGCGAGGGGAGCAAAAGGGAUGAGAAACCCCAGUAGUCC
rnacentral:rRNA from 1 species